rnacentral:rRNA from 1 species
GAUGAACGCUGGCGGCGUGCUUAACACAUGCAAGUCGAACGAACCUUCGGGUUAGUGGCGGACGGGUGAGUAACGCGUGAGAAUCUGCCCUCAGGAGGGGGAUAACGGCUGGAAACGGCCGCUAAUACCCCAUAUGCCGCGAGGUGAAACGAAUUUCGCCUGAGGAUGAGCUCGCGUCUGAUUAGCUAGUCGGUGGGGUAAAGGCCUACCAAGGCAUCGAUCAGUAGCUGGUCUGAGAGGAUGAUCAGCCACACUGGGACUGAGACACGGCCCAGACUCCUACGGGAGGCAGCAGUGGGGAAUUUUCCGCAAUGGGCGCAAGCCUGACGGAGCAACGCCGCGUGAGGGAUGAAGGCCUCUGGGCUGUAAACCUCUUUUAUCAAGGAAGAAGAUCUGACGGUACUUGAUGAAUAAGCCACGGCUAAUUCCGUGCCAGCAGCCGCAGUAA